rnacentral:lncRNA from 1 species
GCUCUCAGUCACCGCCUCGCGGGGGGUGCCUCCUUUCCUUUCUACAUAGACACAGUGACAGUCUGAUCUCUCUUUCUUUUCCCUACAGAUGGACACGCCCCCACUGAUAUUGUUUUUAAUGCAGCGUGGGAGGGGAGGAUAUGACACGCGAUAUCGCAGCUGAGUGCCACGUGCUGACGUCACUAAGAUCAAUACAGCAAACUCUGAAAGAUGGACAGAGAGACAGGAGAUGGUCCUUUAUAAUGCAGUGUGAUCUGUGCUGCAAUAGAGAUGGAAGAGUGUUCUGAUUGGCUGGAAAACAAUGCACAUGGGAAGCUGUACAGAAAUGAGUGGGGAAAGGUAAUACUUAACAGCAACAGCAGUUAAUAUUUAGUGCCCACUUACGACAUGCUGGACACAGUUCCGGGUACUCUGAACAUAUUCGCUCAUUUAAUCUUUACAACAACCCUAUGAGGUAGGUACUAUUAUUAUCCCCAUUUUCAGGUGAGGAAUCUGAGGCACAGAGAGAGUAAGUAUGUUGCCCAGGGCCACGCACCAAGUAUGUGGUAGGUCCUGGAGUUGAAUGCAG